rnacentral:lncRNA from 1 species
CUGGUUCAUGGCCCCUGAAACAGAUGACAUGAGAUUCAGGGAAAUGGCAAAAAAUUUAAGGUCAAAUCUUCAAUUUCGAAAUGAAUUUGUGUAUAUAUACAUGCAGUAGAGGUAGUAUAUCAGGCAAGAGAGUUACCUUUGGUUGCUCCAUAUGUAGGCGCAGUUCUUAGUGGUAUUAGGCCAGCAAUUGAAGAGAGAAGCACAACGCUUCCUGCCCCUGAAGCUUUCAGAAGAGGAUGUGCAAGUAGGCUCAAGUUAUGAGCUGACUCAAAAUUGGUACCCAUGAGAAAUGAAACUUCUUCAGCCGUUUCCUCUGAAAUCGGCUUUGCAAAAACGGUUCCCACAUUGUUU